UACAGAGGUCUCAAGCGUUGUUCGGAUUCAUUGGGCGUAAAGGGUGCGUAGGCGGCGCGGUAAGUCGGGUGUGAAAUCUCGGAGCUUAACUCCGAAACUGCAUUCGGUACUGCCGUGCUUGAGGACUGGAGAGGAGACUGGAAUUUACGGUGUAGCGGUGAAAUGCGUAGAUAUCUGGAGGAACACCGGUGGCGAAGGCGACAUCCUGGACCGGUAUUGACGCUGAGGCGCGAAAGCCAGGGGAGCAAACGGG
rnacentral:rRNA from 1 species